rnacentral:lncRNA from 1 species
GGGCGGUUUUGAUCGGACUUUGAUCCGGCCCAAAUUCGGGCUUGGACCUGGAUCGGGCUAAAAGUCUGCUCGAGCACGGUCCGAAAAUAAAACGGGCCUUAUUUUUUGAUCCGAAUCCGGCCCGAAUGAUUUCGGACUGAGCCCAAAGCCCGAUCCAUAGCUGGCCUGACCCGAUGGAUUUCGAGCCGGCCCGAACCCACUUCCAGCCCUACCUAGGGGGCGUAUAUCGUACACUGCCAUAUGCCCCCAAUAUCUUCCCAAUAUUGCAAGUCUACAUCCCACAUAUCUUAUAGAUAUUCUAUAUGAUAAGAAACAAAUAGAGAAGGCUCACUUAGUAAGAAAAACAAGUACGUUAUAGCUGCUUGCACCGGUUUAAAAUCCAAAACUUAAUUGAUGAAGAUAACUUCAACAAAUCAUCUUACAAAGAAAACAUGACUUGCACAAAGC